AAAGGAAAGUGGACACCGAAAGUAGAGCAUUUAACCCUCAAUGGACGGACUCGUUUCUGUUCAUACUUCCCACUACAGCACUAAACCAGUGUCUGAUAUGCUCCGAACCCAUUGAAAUGCCAUCAUGUGGCUCAAUGAGCUUCUCCGCCUGAGGAGGAGAACGGCCCUGAUGUAUUCCGGUCCAGGUUUUAAAUCCUGGCAUUUAUAAUUUGCAGAGACUGUCCAAAUGUGAAGCAGAAAUUUAAGCUCAUCUUCCCGUUAUUUUAUUUUUUCUGAAUCGAAGCACUGAACAUGCAGAAAUUUAAAUGCAGCCCUACUUUUAUUUAGUCAAUUGAGACAUUAUAGACAGUGGAGAUGGUUGUGGAUUUCCGAAGGAACACAGCCCCACCUUCCCUGUGUGUGUUAGGGACCCGGUUUUAUUAACAGUUUUUUCCCCCAGUCUGUGCUUUUGUUUUUGCUUGUUUUGUUUUUCCACCUGUGUGUUCCGCCUCCGGCCCCACCCCUCUCCCACGUGCCCAGCUGUGGCUCAUUCCGGGGAUCACUGGUGACGAGCAUAAAGGCUCCUGCUUUCAGAGGCUCGUCGUCGUCGUCAGUCCGUCCCAGUACCCAGGCUGGUCUCAGGUGCCGUUGAUACUGAGAUACAGCAGCUAAGCCAGUUUAUUCAUGUUUUGGUUUGUUUUUGUGUCAGACCCACGGAGUACCACGGAGUGCACGUAACCUGCUUUUGAGUUGGACUGUGAGUAUGGUGUCGGGCCUCGGGUUUCCACACCAGACCCUGCUUGAGCCACCCCAGACCGCCAGACGUCGGUGGAGUUUCCCUCCCGACUCCAGUUGAGCCAGAGGAGCGCUUUCUGUUUGCCGUAUUCCCCUUGUUUUUUUGUGAAAAAUUAAGUCAUUUGGCUGAAAAUCCAAGGCUGCUGUGCGUGUGCUUUUGGGUCCACCAAAUACACCCCACCCCCUAACAGUGUGAUUCCACUGCUGUGGACUCCUUCCGUUUCCUGGCCUCCAUCAUAUCCAAGGCCCUCAAGUCCAUCACCAAGAAGGCUCAUCAGAGGCUGUUAUUCCUGAGGUCCUGAGGCUAAGGAGAUGGCUGUAAACCAGGAAAAGAGAGUCAGAAAACGUACAGUUUUUAGGGAUUUUGUCCAAAAUGUUUCAACUGAUGAUGACAACACAAUUUCAAAGGGAGCUGUAGCGCGUUCUAGGAACUCUACAGGAAAUCCUUCACGUGAGUAUGAAAUUACUUGUAUGUAUAUGUACACACACAUAUACAAAGAUUACCCAAGCGCUAAUAUAAUUGUUUUAUAUAUAUGAGUUUUAUAAACUAACAAUCUUCUAUCCUAAACAAACUCAAAAUCUCAGAAUAAAUCAGCCAGCGCCACUACUGCGAAAACAAAGAUUUCCCACUUUACCACCCACCCCACCCCGUGAGUGAAAGGGAUAUUGCUAAAAGUUCGCUUUCUGUUAAGAAUACUGCAACUCAUUUUUUACAGAGUUUUUGUUUCAGAAGUCUGCCAGUGCCUCCCCAAAAUUAAAAAAAAAAAAACACAAAUACAUCAACCUCUCCACCACCACACAGUCUUUAUCCUGGGUCUGAGGAUCUUUUCCAGACUGAAGAGAAAGGCAGCGGCCACACAACUUUCUCCAACACCUUCAUGGCUGUCGUAGCAUCUUUGGAUGACACGUGGGUUUCAGAUGGAAUCUCCACUCCUCGCACCCCCAAUCCUGUCUCGGCAAGGAAAUGUAGGGUAUUACAAACUCUCGCCCAAUACUCCUAUAAACGUAUUCAAAAUGUAGAAAUUUAAGUAUUCCAAUACUAAACUCUUGCCCCGAAGGCAUUGGACCCAGGGCUUUAACAGGUACAGAGGAACCACUAAAAAAAAUCCAUGUUGUUAACUUCUGUUGUGUAUAUUUCAUGUCAUUGGAGCCUUUAGCGCUGUAUAGUAGUGGUUUGGCAUUGGUUUGUUUUAAAAUGUUCCACCUUAGAUUGUGUCUGUGAUUUGUGGUUAUUACUACAGCUGGAAGACAAUCCCCCAGUCAAAUGUGGAAAGGUGAGACUCCACAAUUCCAUCACCACGCCUCAUAAUGUUAAUUAAAGCACAAGUCCACCUCCGCCCCCGUCCCAAUGGAGGUGAGCCUUCACCGCAGGACUGGAUAUCUUGCACAACAAAGUACCAGAGCCUGCCCUUACACUAGCUCCCAAUGCCAUUGAUGUUGAACUUCUUUAACAAAACACACAUCAUAACAUUGUUUUUCCAUCAAUUAUUCCAGGCAAAAAGGGUAUAUUUUUCCCAUGUCCACAGCAAGUAAGUAAACGCUUUGCCAAUUCUAUAUUUGUCUGUAAUAUAUUCAUCAAUGACCAUGCAAACAACAUUUUAUGAAUUUGUUGUUUUUGUAAGAAUUCCAAAGGGUGGUCCUUGGGAAGUCAAGGUGGACCUGACGGAAGAGGUUCACCAAAUUAGAAGGGAGGUGGAGCCCGACGGUUUUAUCCACGAGGUCCCAAAAUUAAAACUGCAAGUGGAACUUGAUGUGCUGGAGGGGACAUUAAAAGAUGCAGACCAGCGGACAUCAUUGGUAAAAAUUAGAUAAUGGUUAAACUUUUUGGAAAUGUAUUUUUACAAAAGAGGUUAUUUAUUUAUUUCAGACCCAGAGGGAUCCAUAAUACAGUGCAAAGCAGACACACAUUGUAAUAGAUACAAAAAACUAAAAAUAAAUAAAAAGAAUAGCAAUACAACGUAUAAAACCCUUCAACAGUUCAUUGUCUAACAUACUUGUUCUCCAGUGGUUCCACAACCUGGACGCAAAUCUUACAGAACUUAGUCCUGUGUUAGCCAACACAAUGAUUAUGUCAUUUUCUGACUCCGAUACCCUAUCCAUUAAUCUGUACAUCAAGUUGCGCAAUACUGCAGUACAGGUACUUUUCAUGUAAACAAUAUUAACACAUUAAGAAAUACCUUAAAACACAUAUACACAAUUUUGACAGGUUCAUUUGCUGGCCAAAGUAGGGGGCAAGACGGUGAAGGAUGCAACCAAUAAAAUAUUGGACAGGUAUGAACAUCAUACAGACACUGUAAUAUCUGCCAAAUAUAGAAGUCAAAAGUAAACCAUAAACAAACAACUGAAAUUGCAGGGAUACAUUAUGGAGGAAUUACUGGCAGUUGAAAAUGCGGAAGUGACCCUAUUUUGUGAUUCUCAGACUUUUCACAAACCAAUUAAUGCCCACUUUCAACAUGAAAGGGGGUGGCCAAAAAAACAAGAAGGCUUUUAGGGUUACUGGGCUGUACGCGGUGAUUAAAAGGUAUGUUCAGAUAUGUAAAAUACAUUUAAUGAGUGGUUGUACUGUAAAAGUCUAUUUUCAUGUUGAUAUAUAAUCAAUAAGGCUGUCAUGCGGCCAUACAGCAGUGCCACAGAGGCAGAGGUUAAUAAGGCGAUGGCGGACCAUUUGAAGCAGGCUCCUGGGAGGUCCGGUGGGGGCGGUUUUUAAAAAAGGAGACGUCACAGACCGGACGUAACUAGUUCAAUUGUUGGAUCAGAAUGUUCUUUUGCAGUUUCAGUUCACAUGUAUAUUUCUUUUAAAUAUUUUUAUAUUUUAUGAAAUACUCAUAUUUAGACUUGUAUGAUUGUUUUUAAGAAUCAUUAUGUAUGUUGUAAUUAUAUUGUUUAUUAA
ensembl:lncRNA